rnacentral:rRNA from 1 species
CUACUGUGGUAAACGAAGAAGUCCGCCUUAGGCGGAUUGCCGGUACUUUGCUAGAUAAGGAGCCGCUAACUGCGUGCCAGAAGCGUCGGUAAUACGUGGGCUCCAAACGUUAUCCGGUUUUAUCUGGGUGUACAAAAGUAGUGUAGGUGUCCCGCUAAGUUUUGUUUUAAAUACUGUAGCUUAACUAUAGGAAAGGAUGUAACAUACUGGCGGGAUAGAGUUUUCUUUAGGGAGACUGGAACUUAGGGAGGAGUAGUGAAAUGCGUUGAUACCCUAGGGAACACUCGUGGCGAAGGCGAGUCUCUGAAAGAAAACUGACACUGAGACACGAAAGCUAGGGGAGCGAAGCAGAUUAGAGACCUGCGUAGUCCUAGCCUUAAACCAUGCUUGCUAGCUGCAUGAGAUUAGCAUUUAGCUAAUAGUUUUCUAACUGUUAGCUGAUUGCUAAUUUAGUGUGGCGAAGGUAACCCGUUAAGCAAGCCACCUGGGCGGAAAGGGUAAACCCUCGCCUCAAGGCCAAGGCCUACCCUGGGGGAGUAAGGCUCGCCAAUGGUUUGAAACUCAAAAGGAAAAUGUGCGGGGAGGCACACAACCAGUGGAACAUUGUGGUUCAAUUGGAUAACGAACCGAAGAACCUCACCCAGGGUUUUGACCAUCCAGAGCCGUCCUCAUUUCCAUGGAAACAUGUGAAUAUUCGCAAGAAGGCUCGGCACAGGUGCUGCAUGGCUGUCGUCAGCUCGUUCCGUGAGGAGUACCCUUAAGUGGGACAACGAGCGCAACCCCUAUCUUGUGUUAUAAUCUGUCACAAGAUACUGCCCCGCCUUUGGCGGGGAGGAAGGAGGGGCAGACGUCAAGUCAGCAUGGUCCUUAUACCCUGGGCUACACACAUGUUACAAUGGGAUGAGCAGUGGGUCUUGCCAAACGGCAACGUUGAGCAAAUCCCUUAAACCAUCCCUCAGUGGGGAUUGAGGUCUGCAACUCGACCUCAUGAACACGGAAUUGGUAGUAAUCGCGGGUCAGUCAUACCGCGGUGAAUACGUUCUUGCCUCUUGCACACACCGCCCGUCAAGCCAACAAAGUCGGUGAUAUUUGAACCCUCCGAUUCGGAAGGGAAAAUAU